AUCUGCAUAGAAUCUGCGACAUAUCUGCAAGCUGAUCCACCAGAAUCAAGAAGAGCUCUGCAAUCCAGCAAUUCGGGAGGUAGUGACGAGAAAUACUGAUAUAAGACUCUUUCAUGAUGUUUUAUAAUUGGAAUGAAUCGAGCAUAAGUCAAUCGGCAAGGAUCAAGUUGACGGUGAGUCAGGUACCAGCAGCCACGGGAAUUCCAGCUCCACUAGCGUGUAUUAAAAUUGUUGCGGUUAAAACGUUCGAAGUUUAUUCUUGCCCAACACAGGUGCUACUUCUAAUGAUGGUGGAAGGUCACUGGAUUGUUGCGAUUAUGAGGAUGGGGUUAUCUUGAACAAAUUGGAAGACUCUAAACAGUAUACUAAGUCUUGAUCUGUUUUCAAUAAAUGCGUUCUCCUCAACGUCCAGGGAUUGAAUGAUUUUUC
rnacentral:ncRNA from 2 species